GGGAGAACGCCCCGAACGACAACGUAGCACUCCCACACGCCCCACCCACAACACGCGUCACACUACCGCACGGACAACCAUAUCCAUUCCCCACGGGGGGUCUUUGGCCGACGCACCUCGCCGUCGGGCAUGGAGGCCACCGCCGCUCCCCAGCUCGAUUCCUUUCUCCAGUGAAGCACGGGCUAUGGAGGUGUGUCCAUGCCGCCGCGGCCUCGGUCGGAGGUGGAGGAGCGACGAGAGGGCUCGCUCGGUGGGCGGCACGGCGAGGCACAAAGUGGAGAGGGAGUGGGCGGCCAUGCCGCGGCGAAGAAGAGCACGAUGAAGCGGAGCAAGAAGGCACUGACGGUCUGCGAUGCUGGGAUGGAGGCGCGGAGCACGGUCGGGGGGAGGGGGGACGAGGUAGUGGCGGAGGUCAUGGCGGCCGGGGCGGUGAGUUUCGCGGAGCGUCGGGCCGACAUGGGGCGACCACGCCGCCGCGUUCCACAUGCUGGAGACGAUGGCGACCACACCGCCGUGUUGCUCAUGCUGCUGGUCGCCAAUAUAACGGAAAGAGGCCUGUAGGGCCUGAUGAUUGGGGCGUUCGCGCUGGGGUGUUUUCCUCCCGAACGAGUGGGUUCGGUUGAUCUUCGUCCGGUAGCGAACGAGUUGUUCGGUCCGGGGUCUCCCAUACCGAACGUCAGUGCCUUAUCGGGGUCCUUAAUAUAUAUUGCCAAACAUCCAACUAUGUAUCCACACAAAAUUAAAGCAACUGUUUUUCUUUUGCAAGGAACAAAAUAUGUAUUAACCGAGCAUCGGUUUCUUCACCGCUUCCUCUUAAUGAAUAGUAGCAGCUCUCUUGCUAUCUUAAAAAAAAC
rnacentral:rRNA from 1 species